rnacentral:rRNA from 1 species
GAUGAACGCUAGCUACAGGCUUAACACAUGCAAGUCGCGGGGCAGCAUGUGUUUUGCUUGCUAUCCCCGAUGGCGACCGGCGCACGGGUGAGUAACGCGUAUCCAACCUGCCCUUCACCACGGCAUAACCCUGCGAAUGUCGGACUAAUACCGUAUGUUCUCCAUUGACGGCAUCCGAUAUUGUCGAAAGGCUUGGCGGUGCGGGAUGGGGAUCCGUUUGAUUAGCCAGUCGGCGGGUUAACGGCCCACGGGGGCUACGCUAGGUAGGGGUUCUGAGAGGGAGGGCCCCCACACGGGAACUGAGACACGGUGAAGACGACUACGGGAGGAAGCAGUGAGGAAGAAUGGGCAAUGGGCGUAAGACUGAACCAGCCAAGUAGCGGGAAGGACGACGGCCCUAUGGGUUGUAAACUGCUGUUAUGAGGGGAUAAAGUGGACGACGUGUGGGCUUUUGAAGGUACCGCAUGAAUAAGGACCGGCUAAUUCCGUG